UACGAAGGGGGCUAGCGUUACUCGGAUUGACUGGGCGUAAAGGGCGCGAGUAGGCGGUUUGUACAGUCAGACGUGAAAUUCCUGGGCUCAACCUGGGGGCUGCGUUUGAUACGUGCAGACUUGAGUUCGGAAGAGGGUCGUGGAAUUCCCAGUGUAGAGGUGAAAUUCGUAGAUAUUGGGAAGAACACCGGUGGCGAAGGCGGCAUCCUGGACCAUUACUGACGCUGAGGCGCGAAAGCUAGGGUAGCAAACGGGG
rnacentral:rRNA from 1 species